GCCGCCGCGGUAAUACCGGCAGCCCGAGUGAUGGCCGCUAUUAUUGGGCCUAAAGCGUCCGUAGCCGGCCAGACAAGUCCGUUGGGAAAUCCACGUGCUUAACGCGUGGACGUCCGGCGGAAACUGUCUGGCUUGGGGCCGGAAGACCUGAGGGGUACGUCCGGGGUAGGAGUGAAAUCCCGUAAUCCUGGACGGACCGCCGGUGGCGAAAGCGCCUCAGGAAGACGGACCCGACGGUGAGGGACGAAAGCUAGGGUCUCGAACCGGAUUAGAUACCCGGGUAGUCCUAGCUGUAAACGAUGCUCGCUAGGUGUGCCGCAGGCUACGAGCCUGCGCUGUGCCGUAGGGAAGCCGUGAAGCGAGCCGCCUGGGAAGUACGUCUGCAAGGAUGAAACUUAAAGGAAUUGGCGGGGGAGCACUACAACCGGAGGAGCCUGCGGUUUAAUUGGACUCAACGCCGGACAUCUCACCAGCACCGACAAUGUGCAGUGAAAGUCAGGUUGAUGACCUUACUGGAGCCAUUGAGAGGAGGUGCAUGGCCGCCGUCAGCUCGUACCGUGAGGCGUCCUGUUAAGUCAGGCAACGAGCGAGACCCGCACUCUUAGUUGCCAGCAGCAUCUUGCGAUGGCUGGGUACACUAGGAGGACUGCCGCUGCCAAAGCGGAGGAAGGAACGGGCAACGGUAGGUCAGUAUGCCCCGAAUGUGCUGGGCUACACGCGGGCUACAAUGGCCGGGACAGUGGGACGCCAGUCCGAGAGGACGCGCUAAUCCCCGAAACCCGGUCGUAGUUCGGAUUGAGGGCUGAAACCCGCCCUCAUGAAGCUGGAUUCGGUAGUAAUCGCGUGUCAGAAGCGCGCGGUGAAUCCGUCCCUGCUCCUUGCACACACCGCCCGUCAAAGCACCCGAGUGGGGUCCGGAUGAGGCCGUCAUGCGACGAUC
rnacentral:rRNA from 1 species